rnacentral:rRNA from 1 species
UACAGAGGUCCCAAGCGUUGUUCGGACUCAUUGGGCGUAAAGGGUGCGUAGGUGGCGCUGUAAGUCGGGUGUGAAAUUUCGGAGCUUAACUCCGAAACUGCAUUCGAUACUGCGGUGCUUGAGGACUGGAGAGGAGACUGGAAUUCAUGGUGUAGCAGUGAAAUGCGUAGAGAUCAUGAGGAAGACCAGUGGCGAAGGCGGGUCUCUGGACAGUUCCUGACACUGAGGCACGAAGGCCAGGGGAGCAAACGGG